GACGAACGCUGGCGGCGUGCUUAACACAUGCAAGUCGAACGGAAAGGCCCUGCUUUUGUGGGGUGCUCGAGUGGCGAACGGGUGAGUAACACGUGAGUAACCUGCCCUUGACUUUGGGAUAACUUCAGGAAACUGGGGCUAAUACCGGAUAGGAGCUCCUGCUGCAUGGUGGGGGUUGGAAAGUUUCGGCGGUUGGGGAUGGACUCGCGGCUUAUCAGCUUGUUGGUGGGGUAGUGGCUUACCAAGGCUUUGACGGGUAGCCGGCCUGAGAGGGUGACCGGCCACAUUGGGACUGAGAUACGGCCCAGACUCCUACGGGAGGCAGCAGUGGGGAAUAUUGCACAAUGGGCGGAAGCCUGAUGCAGCAACGCCGCGUGCGGGAUGACGGCCUUCGGGUUGUAAACCGCUUUCGCCUGUGACGAAGCGUGAGUGACGGUAAUGGUAAAG
rnacentral:rRNA from 1 species